GUCAAUCAGCCGGGCAUUGUGAUCUGGAGCAUGCGCAGUGCACUUAUGCACGGGACGUGGAGCCGCUGGUGAGAAACUGCCGGAGGAGCGGAAGGGAUGGAGCCGGAAGAAAAGUGGUGUUAGAAGAGGAGGAUUUGUAGUCAGGAAAAACAAAACAAACCUCAUGUCAAAACCUGAAAGUCAUUUGAUUCAUCAGGAUUUGAAGAUUUGUACAUCUGAAGGGAUUUAAUUGACUGCCUCAGCUGGAAACUGGUGAGAGGCUAUUCACCUGCUCCUCCUGUGGGAAGGGAUUGAUACAGCUGGUAAACAUGCUGACAAGACAGCUCACAAUAGUGAGAGGCUGUUCACCUGCUCUGUGUGGGAAGAAAUUCAUGUGUUCAUCCAACCUGCUGGCACACCAGCUCGAUCACUUUGAUAAGGAGCCUCUUCAAUGUUCUGACUCUGAGAAAAGCUUUGAAAUCUCCGAGGAACUGACACCAACACCAGCAAGUUCACACUGACAAGAGACCGUUCAGCUGCUCCCACUGCGGGAAGAGGUUCAGGCUGUCCUCCCGCCUCGCGGAGCACCAGCUCCUUCACAUCUACAGGAGGCCGUUCAGCUGCUCUCCCUGUGGGGAGUCGUUCAGUGAGUCAGUGCAUCUCACUGAGCACCAGCCAGUUCACACCAAGGACAGGCCGUUCAGCUGUUCCCAGUGUGGGAAGAGAUUCACUCAGUCCUCCCAUUACACUGAGCACCAAUUGGUUCACUCAGAAAAGAGACCUUUUAAAUGUACUGAAUGUGAGAAGACCUUUAAAAGAAGCAUUAAUCUGCUGAGAUACCAGUGUAUUCACACUGGGGAGAGGCCGUUCCUCUGCUGCGUCUGUGGGAAGAGAUUCACUCAUUCAUUCCACCUUAUGAUACAUAAGCGAGUUCACACUGCAGAGAGACCAUUCACCUGCUCCCUGUGUGGGAAGGGAUACAGUCGGUCAUCUGAACUUAUGAUACACAAGCGAUUUCACACUGGGGAGAGACCGUUCAGCUGCUCCGAGUGUGGGAAGGGAUUCACUCGUUCAACCCACCUUUCAAUGCACAAGCGAAUUCACACUGGGGAGAGACCAUUCCCUUGCUGUGUGUGUGGGAAGAGAUUCACUCAGUCAUCCACCCUGCUCACACACGAGAGUUCACACCGGAGAGAGACCGUUCACCUGCUUCGUGUGUGGGAAGAGCUUCCCUCGUUUGAGCCUCGUGUUGGUACACGAGCGCAUUCACACCGGGGAGAGGCCGUACAUUUGCCCCGUGUGCGGGAGGGGAUUUACUUGUUUACACCACCUGCUGAGACACCAGCCUGUUCACACCGGGGAGAGGGCGUUCAUGUGCUCUGUGUGUGGGAAGUGUUUCACUGAGUCGUCCAGCCUCCAGAAACACCAACGCAUCCACACUGGAGAGAGACCGUUCACCUGCUCCAUGUGUGGGAAGAAAUUUGUUCAGUCAUUUGAUCUGGUGAGACACGAGUGAGUUCACACCAGGAAGAAGCUGCUCACCUGCUCCAUGUGUGAGAAGAGAUUUACUCGCUCAUCCAGCCUGCUGAAACACCAGCAACUUCACAUGUCACCGACAAAGUUGGAUUGUGUUGUUGCUGCUGUAGAUCAUGUCCAGGACUGAACCUUUUCUCCUUUCUAAUUCCAGAUUAUUUCAAUUCUCAGACCUUCUGUUACUCUCAAGGACAAUUCCUAGCUCCCCAUACCUUCCCGAGUAUUUUCCCUAGCCUUGGGAUCCAGGGAAGGUAUUGGUAACACACGUGGGAUCACUAAACACAAAACCCAAUCUAUUAUUCACUUUCAGGUACUGGAAUUAGUGUGUGUCCCACAGCAUCUCUCUCACCUUUGAACAUCACACCUGUAAAGGAGGUUUAAUUUAGAUCCUCAUAAACUUAACAGGAACCAGCAGACUCUGUUAAACUGUUAGUGUGCUCCUGUAUUGCUCUGUAUUUUGCCUGUAAUGGAAAAUGCCUGAAUCCUUUGUCCCAGUGGAACCUUUGCUGUUAUGAAAUGUGGGAGAAUAUUAAUGAGUCUCUCAUCCUUGCCCAUGUCUGCUGCAAUUGUGUAGACAGUAACACAGCCUUGUGCUCACACCCAGAACAAUGCACAGAUAUCCUUGUGUUUAUGGUUUGAGCAGGGUCAGAUCACGGAUGUAAUGAACAAUUAUAAAUAUCUCCAGUGUAGCUGCAGCUUUUUAGAUCAGAGCUGGGGAGAAGAGAGCUCUGAAUCCACUGUAUUAUCUGUUCUCUGGAUCAGGUAACUACAUUUUUUCAAUAUAACUGUUUUAUUCAAGAAAUACAUUCACAGCUCAAAGACUGAAUUGUAACUUACAGCAAGAAAAUUCAUAAAAUUUAAUAUAGAUAUAUAAUCUAGUUAAAAACAUGGGGAAUAUGUGACAAUCUGUCAUAACAAAAAUCGGCAAACAAAUGCAGCAAGUAACAGGGAAGCUGUGAACGAGAUAUUAGAGGAAGGAAUAUUGAAUUAAAAUUAUGUUAAAAUUACAGACCAAUCCACCAUUCCUAUAUUACAGGCUCUGAAGUAUAUAAAUGAUGACAUUUAUAAUUACUUCAUAGAGGAUUGGAACCAUGUAAGGAAUUACUCUGUCUGUAUGAUUGCAGUGCUGUUAAUAAAGUCAGGAAAAGACAA